AGAGUUUGAUCCUGGCUCAGGAUGAAUGCUGGCGGCGUGCUUAACACAUGCAAGUCGAACGAAGCGAUCAGGAGGAAGUUUUCGGAUGGAAUCCGGAUUGACUGAGUGGCGGACGGGUGAGUAACGCGUGGGUAACCUGCCUCAUACAGGGGGAUAACAGUUAGAAAUGACUGCUAAUACCGCAUAAGCGCACAGGGACACAUGUUCCGGUGUGAAAAACUCCGGUGGUAUGAGAUGGACCCGCGUCUGAUUAGCUGGUUGGCGGGGUAACGGCCCACCAAGGCGACGAUCAGUAGCCGACCUGAGAGGGUGACCGGCCACAUUGGGACUGAGACACGGCCCAAACUCCUACGGGAGGCAGCAGUGGGGAAUAUUGCACAAUGGGGGAAACCCUGAUGCAGCAACGCCGCGUGAGUGAAGAAGUAUUUCGGUAUGUAAAGCUCUAUCAGCAGGGAAGAAGAUGACGGUACCUGAGUAAGAAGCCCCGGCUAACUACGUGCCAGCAGCCGCGGUAAUACGUAGGGGGCAAGCGUUAUCCGGAUUUACUGGGUGUAAAGGGAGCGUAGACGGUGAGACAAGUCUGAAGUGAAAGCCCGGGGCUCAACCCCGGGACUGCUUUGGAAACUGCCAUGCUGGAGUGCUGGAGAGGUAAGCGGAAUUCCUAGUGUAGCGGUGAAAUGCGUAGAUAUUAGGAGGAACACCAGUGGCGAAGGCGGAUUACUGGACGAUAACUGACGGUGAGGCGCGAAAGCGUGGGGAGCAAACAGGAUCAGAUACCCUGGUAGUCCACGCUGUAAACGAUCGAUACUAGGUGUGCGGGGACUGACCCCCUGCGUGCCGGAGUUAACACAAUAAGUAUCGCACCUGGGGAGUACGAUCGCAAGGUUGAAACUCAAAGGAAUUGACGGGGGCCCGCACAAGCGGUGGAUUAUGUGGUUUAAUUCGAAGCAACGCGAAGAACCUUACCAGGGCUUGACAUCCUGCUAACGAAGUAGAGAUACAUUAGGUGCCCUUCGGGGAAAGCAGAGACAGGUGGUGCAUGGUUGUCGUCAGCUCGUGUCGUGAGAUGUUGGGUUAAGUCCCGCAACGAGCGCAACCCUUGUCCUUAGUAGCCAUCAGGUAAAGCUGGGCACUCUAUGGAGACUGCCGGGGAUAACCCGGAGGAAGGUGGGGAUGACGUCAAAUCAUCAUGCCCCUUAUGACUUGGGCUACACACGUGCUACAAUGGCGUAAACAAAGGGAAGCAAGCAUGUGAGUGUAAGCAAAUCUCAAAAAUAACGUCUCAGUUCGGAUUGUAGUCUGCAACUCGACUACAUGAAGCUGGAAUCGCUAGUAAUCGCGAAUCAGAAUGUCGCGGUGAAUACGUUCCCGGGUCUUGCACUCACCGCCCGUCA
rnacentral:rRNA from 1 species